GUAAGUGUUUUAUCUCACUUAAAAUAUGUAUUUAAGUAAGUGUUUUACUUCAUUUACAUUAUGUAUUUUAUAAGAUAAUAUUACUUUAUGAUGACAUUUAUACAUUCUGCAUGACAUCUGCUUGCUUUAAUGGGCGUGCACACUGAACAUUCAAGUCUGGAGCGGAAGGAGUUACCAUGGAAAUGGGGCGGAAACUCAACUGUCGAGCAGCAAAACACGUCUCCCACUGUUGUUUUCACAAAUUUCAGAAAUGGUUUAUUGUCUUCAGAAAAAGUCUGUUAGCAUCUGAACUGUAAUGCUAACUAUAAGAGGUUUUGCAGGCAAUUUGUCAUUGGAUGAAAGGAACAGUUUCAGAAAAAAACUUCUACGACACAGGAAAAGUUCCUGAUUUUAAAAUUUCUGAAGAAAGCUGCUGACAGAGAUAUAAAAAACACAGAAUCUUCCAUUCUAAUGGCCGUGCACCAGAGUUGGAGCGUAUCUCCUGUCGAAGAACAUCUCUAGACAUUAUGAACCAUAUGACUAAAACUGAAAAUCAUCAAUAAAACACAAGUGGAUUGAUAGCUCCAACACCAAUUAAGCAGACCUGAGCAGCUGAUCAAGGAUCACCAGAAACUCUGCAGAACUUAAGUACCCAGUCCUCAAUAACCAGGACUGGAAACCAGAGUUCUAAAUAAAACCAAAGUCCAUUCAGCCACAGGUCACUGCAUCUUUUGCUGUAAGCAAAACAGAAGCAGUGGUGGGUGGUUGUUGAACUCCUUGUGGGAGUUGGGGGAUCCAGAAUGGGCAGGCUAUUUUGGUGUGGGAGUCUGUUUUCAAAUUGUGCAUUCUUUUAUUUUAUUUUUAUAUAUAUUUUUUUUUCUUGGAGUGGAUUUUCACUAAAGUGUGAGUGAUUUUUCUUGUUUUGUGCAUGUGUAGAAAUUAGUGGGGAGAAGAAGGAAAGGGAAAAAAAGCCCAAGAUGAAGCUCGUCUGUCACUUUAUAUAAUCCUGUGAAACUUUUUUGCCUGUUGAUGUUUAAAUGUCAU